UAGACAGAUGCACGCUGGUUUGUGCGCUUAGCUGUUAAUUAAGUUUUUGAAGGAUCGAGGCCUUCCUGUCUAG
rnacentral:tRNA from 1 species